rnacentral:rRNA from 1 species
UGGGGAAUAUUGGACAAUGGGCGAAAGCCUGAUCCAGCCAUGCCGCGUGUGUGAAGAAGGUCUUCGGAUUGUAAAGCACUUUAAGUUGGGAGGAAGGGCAGUAAGCGAAUACCUUGCUGUUUUGACGUUACCGACAGAAUAAGCACCGGCUAACUCUGUGCCAGCAGCCGCGGUAAUACAGAGGGUGCAAGCGUUAAUCGGAAUUACUGGGCGUAAAGCGCGCGUAGGUGGUUCGUUAAGUUGAAUGUGAAAGCCCCGGGCUCAACCUGGGAACUGCAUCCAAAACUGGCGGGGUAGGGUAGGGCAGAGGGUGGUGGAAAUUCCUGUGUAGCGGUGAAAUGCGUAGAUAUAGGAAGGAACACCAGUGGCGAAGGCGACCACCUGGGCUCAUACUGACACUGAGGUGCGAAAGCGUGGGGAGCAAACGGG